rnacentral:tRNA from 1 species
GAGGGUAUAGCUCAAGUGGUAGAGUGCAUGCUUAGCAUGCACAAGGUCCCAGGUUCAAUCCCUAGUACCUCUU